GACGAACGCUGGCGGCGUGCUUAACACAUGCAAGUCGAGCGGUAAGGCCCUUUCGGGGUACGACAGCGGCGAACGGGUGAGUAACACGUGGGUGACCUGCCCUCAGCUCUGGGAUAAGCCUGGGAAACCGGGUCUAAUACUGGAUAUGACUCCAUGACGCAUGUUGUGGGGUGGAAAGCCUUGUGCGGCUGAGGAUGGGCCCGCGGCCUAUCAGCUUUGUUGGUGGGGUGA
rnacentral:rRNA from 1 species